rnacentral:rRNA from 1 species
GCUUAGAAGCAGCCACUCAUUUAAAGAGUGCGUAAUAGCUCACUGGUCGAGUGAUCCUGCGCCGAAAAUUUCCGGGGCUAAAACGUACUACCGAAGCUACGGCAUCAUUUAUGAUGGGUAGGGGAGCUUCGUAUGCAGGCUGAAGCAUGACCGUAAGGACAUGUGGACAGUAUACGAGUGAGAAUGUUGGCAUGAGUAGCGAGACGUGGGUGAGAAUCCCACGGGCCGUAAACCCAAGGUUUCCAGGGGAAGGUUCGUCCGCCCUGGGUUAGUCGGGACCUAAGCCGAGGCCGAAAGGCGUAGGUGAUGGACAACAGGUUGAUAUUCCUGUACCGCCAAUAAGCGUUUGAGAGAUGGAGUGACACAGUAGGAUAAGCUAACCGUACUGUUGGUUAUGUACGGCUAAGCAUUGAGGCAGUCUAAAUAGGCAAAUCCGUUUAGACAAUGCUAGGAUGUGAUGGGGAAGCCCUUCGGGGCGAAGUAGCUGAUUUCACACUGUCAAGAAAAGCUUCUAUCGAGUUUAAAGGCGCCCGUACCGUAAACCGACACAGGUGGGUGAGGAGAGUAUCCUAAGGCCAGCGAGAGAACUAUUGUUAAGGAACUCGGCAAAAUGACCCCGUAACUUAGGGAGAAGGGGUGCCUGUCUAUGACAGGCCGCAGAGAAUAGGCCCAAGCGACUGUUUACCAAAAACACAGGUUUCUGCUAAGUCGCAAGACGAUGUAUAGGAGCUGACGCCUGCCCGGUGCUGGAAGGUUAAGGGGAUCUGUUAGAGCAAUCGAAGCAGUGAACUUAAGCCCCAGUAAACGGCGGCCGUAACUAUAACGGUCCUAAGGUAGCGAAAUUCCUUGUCGGGUAAGUUCCGACCCGCACGAAAGGCGUAACGAUUUGGGCACUGUCUCAACAAUAGACUCGGUGAAAUUGUAAUCCCGGUGAAGAUGCCGGGUACCUGCGACAGGACGGAAAGACCCCAUGGAGCUUUACUGUAGCUUGACGUUGGGUCUUGGUACUACAUGUACAGGAUAGGUGGGAGACUAUGAAGCAUGGACGCCAGUCUGUGUGGAGUCAUCCUUGGGAUACCACCCUUGUAGUACUGGGAUCCUAACCAUAGGCCUUGAAUCAGGUCUUGGAACACCGUCAGGUGGGCAGUUUGACUGGGGCGGUCGCCUCCUAAAAAGUAACGGAGGCGCUCAAAGGUUUCCUCAGCACGGUCGGAAAUCGUGCGAAGAGUGUAAAGGCAAAAGGAAGCUUGAUUGCAAGACAUACAGGUCGAGCAAGGACGAAAGUCGGACUUAGUGAUCCGGUGGUUCCGCAUGGAAGGGCCAUCGCUCAACGGAUAAAAGCUACCCUGGGGAUAACAGGCUUAUCUCCCCCAAGAGUCCACAUCGACGGGGAGGUUUGGCACCUCGAUGUCGGCUCAUCACAUCCUGGGGCUGUAGUAGGUCCCAAGGGUUGGGCUGUUCGCCCAUUAAAGUGGUACGCGAGCUGGGUUCAGAACGUCGUGAGACAGUUCGGUCCCUAUCCGUCGCAGGCGUAGGAAAUUUGAGAAGACCUGUCCUUAGUACGAGAGGACCGGGAUGGACGUACCUCUGGUGUACCAGUUGUUCUGCCAAGGGCAUGGCUGGGUAGCUAUGUACGGAAUGGAUAAGCGCUGAAAGCAUCUAAGCGCGAAGCCAACUUCAAGAUAAGAUUUCCCACCGUAAGGGUAAGACCCCAGGAAGACUACCUGGUUGA